UGCCCCCUUUCCUGGCUAGAUAGGAUUCCAGAGGUUGCAGGAUGCCCCGGGGAGUUGAGAGGUUCCCUCUGGGAGGCCCCAUUGCCAGAGCAGGAGGCAGGAGUGGCAAAACGUCACCAACUGAAGAGUCACAAACCCAAAACCUGAAAUGGCUGAGAAUCACAGACCAAAAGGCCCUCUUGUCCCGGCACAGUGGAAUCCUGUUGCAACACAGAGGAUCUGAUGAUCGCUGGCUAUAAAUACAUCACUUCCUCAUCAUGGAGAGGGAAAGCACCAGGAUAGCAUCGAGAUGCAGGGUCACACCCGCUUCUCCAGGGCUGCCCUUUCUCCGUCACUCCUUAAAACAUCCUUCACCUUCAGCUCUUUGAAAGAUGCCACAUAAACAGCCCAAGUCACUGUCUUUAAUCAGCUGACUACGACGGGAAUUAGGGAAGCAGAAAUCACCCAGGAAUGAAAUGAGACGUUUCUUUCUUUAAAGAAAUGACAUGGAAUAACCAUGAUCACUUUGCUGUUUCCCCAACAUGCCCAACUGUUUCAUAACUUUAUAACUGUCAAGAUUCCCUGCAGAGAAAAAUUAUUCUGGAGAGUCAUUUUCAUAAUUUAACAGAGACUAUUUCAUCUCGGUGGUAACACAAAAGAACGCAUUGUUGAACACCUGUUCCGCUCCACCUAGACUCCUGAAAGGCUUUCAGCCUUUUGUUCAGAUACCCUGGAACACGAGAUGGGGAAAUUAACUUAGGACUGAUGAGCAAGUUUACUUUAUACCCAUCUCACUCUCCUGAAUCGAGGCUGCCAGGCCUCUCUCUAACUGCCCCUUUCCAGUGUCUCAAGUUUUCACUUGGCCAGCGUGAACAAAGCUGAAUGAUCACAGACUGCAAAUCCAAGGAAUUCCCUUCCUUGCCAGAGCACUUUUCUAUCGGCAAUGCUAAAACCCUCCUCUCUGAAACGGAAAAGGUCCGGCUGACAUUUUUAACUAGCCGCAACCCGACAACAAACCACCGAAUGCAAGCAAAUAUGACAAAAACGUCGGCUUAUUUGUUUACUGAAGCUACUUCUCCACUAACCACCUACAUUCCUCGCAUGGUUUCCUCAAUGUUUAACCUUAAUUAUGCCCUCGAUCACAACCGGACACAAUAUCGUGAACUUAGCCUUCUGUGGAAAUGAGAGAUUGAAGAAAAAAAAAAACUCUUAAAGGUGCUUGGAUUACCAAAUUCUGCAAAAGGUCAAUGAAUUAUCAUCCCAAGGCCUGGGCUCUGGGAGCUAUUAAGCAUGCUUGGUUAUAAAGAAGUUCACACAUCUCCUGGGGCUAUUUCAUGCUAUUUUGAUGGCCGAAAGGGUCAGAAGUUGAUAGCGUCCCUAUGCAGGCUAUUUCCCAGCUCAAAGAGGAUGAGGCAAAGCUUCAUAAUAUUUCGAUCUGCUGGAUGCAGUCAAGCUCAAGAUGGCACCAGAUGACCUGGAAAACUGGCAUCCCCCUCGUGAAUAAGAGCGAGAGUCCUGGCAACCCGUCAUCUCGGUGCUGCCACGCAUCACUGACUGCACUUUAGGGUGCACACACUGGGAAAACGUGCAAACCAUUAGUGUGAGUUCUGCAGAGGAGACGCGGCAAGAGAGAACUGGUCCCCAGCCAGACGAGACCAAUGACGCAUGCCAAGGAAACUCUACGUGGGACUAAAAAUAUAUAUAUUUUUAAGAGGCAACAAAGACCUUUUGUGAAUUUUAACACUCAGACAACAUACCAUCCAUCGAUGCAUUGGACAGGUAGAAAAAAGCAAAUCAUGGUGAGCAGGUUUCAGGAGGCUGAACUGUUCUUCCCCCUGCUUAGAAUGGUGAGCCUCACAUGGGACAAGGACCUUGCCCGACCUAGGUAUCUUUCAUCUAUGCUUAUACAGCGCCAGACACAGAGUAAGCACUGAACAAACAUCUCAAUUAUUCUUAUUACUUGGCAUCAUGCUCUGGUCAAAACUCAAAGCUUAAAUGGCAGUGGUUGUCUUCAACCUGUUGGGGUUUUUUUGGUUGUUGUUUUUUUUUUAACUGUAUUUGUUAAGCACUUACUUUGU